UUCUUAGAAGCAGGAGCAUGAAAGACUGUUCAGAGCUGUUUGCAUGAGAUGCUGAAAAUUAAGUGGAGCCUGACACUGCAGAAAAUGUAGAAAAGUUGGGAAGAGAAUAAUGUGAAAAGACAACCUGCAAAAAAAAUCCACACAACUGCCAAAAUGUGAUCAGAUAUUGAGGACGUCCAUGUCCCCUCCAAUCUCCUGCCUUCACUUGAGGAGUCUGAAUGAGGGCAACCCCACUGUGGAUUCAAGGCACGUGCAGAGAACAGAAGGCAAGAUCAUAUUUUGUGAUAGAACAGCUAAUAGCUGAAGAACUCUGCCAUGAAAGUCCCAAGCAGCCCAGCCUUAGCAGGGCUCUUUGGUGUGGAGAAAGGAGCUCAACGUGCUCACAACUCACUGAUUUGAACAGGAGCUGAAAAACCAGAUAACAAAACAAUCCCACUCUCGCCAUGGUCACAGCAAUAGGACUUCAGCCCAAGGCAGCUGUGCUCUGCAGCUGGCCGUGAAGAUAGAGAUUUCUCCCUUUGGAGCAAAACACUAUGAUGUUCCCAAGAGCUAUAUAGAUA